UACGUAGGGUGCGAGCGUUGUCCGGAAUUAUUUGGGCGUAAAGGGCUCGUAGGCGGUUUGUCGCGUCGGGAGUGAAAACUCAGGGCUUAACCCUGAGCCUGCUUCCGAUACGGGCAGACUAGAGGUAUGCAGGGGAGAACGGAAUUCCUGGUGUAGCGGUGAAAUGCGCAGAUAUCAGGAGGAACACCGGUGGCGAAGGCGGGUCUCUGGGCCGUAACUGACGCUGAGGAGCGAAAGCGUGGGGAGCGAACAGG
rnacentral:rRNA from 1 species